GUCAGGCGUCGCUAAACACCGAGCGCCCUUGCGAUCAAGUCGCAAAGGCCGGCAGUCUUAAUCAGUGGGCGGACAGUGUUUGCGGAUCGCCACCGAACACCGCAGGGACCAGCUGACGCUGUCUUCGUGGGGCCUUCGAUGGCGCCCCGACCGGUGUGGGAUGGCAGAUCCCGUAGCGCUAGGGCGCCGAGCGCCAAAGCCUCUUCCGAUCCCUGCGAAACGGCGGUGGGAUCGGAAGGGGCUCUAUGGCCUU
rnacentral:sRNA from 1 species